AACGAACGCUGGCGGCAGGCCUAACACAUGCAAGUCGAGCGAGGUAGCAAUACCUAGCGGCGGACGGGUGAGUAACGCGUGGGAACGUGCCCCUUGGUACGGAAUAGCCCCGGGAAACUGGGAGUAAUACCGUAUGAGCUCUACGGAGGAAAGAUUUAUCGCCAAGGGAUCGGCCCGCGGUGGAUUAGGUAGUUGGUGGGGUAAUGGCCUACCAAGCCGACGAUCCAUAGCUGGUUUGAGAGGAUGAUCAGCCACACUGGGACUGGAACACGGCCCAGACUCCUACGGGAGGCAGCAGUGGGGCAUCUUAGACAAUGGGCGCAAGCCUGGUCUAGCCAUGCCGCGUGAGCGAUGAAGGCCUUAGGGUUGUAAAGCUCUUUCAGCUGGGAAGAUAAUGACUGUACCAGCAGAAGAAGCCCCGGCUAACUCCGUGCCAGCCGCUGCAGUAACAC
rnacentral:rRNA from 1 species